GUAUUAAUUUAGUUUAAAGUUAAAUUUAAAGCGAUGUACAGAUUAUAUUUGCAUUAGCCUUUACACCCUACUUUACCAUUCCGUGUGUGAAUUUCGACUAGGUGGCAAUAUUACUAACAGCAAUAUCUGUAUGCGUUUAUUUAAUACACUAGUAACUGCCGUCCUCAUCGUCGAACGUGCGCCGAAAUAAAUAUUCAAUUACAUCGAAAUAGAAUUAAUUUUGAGUAAAAUCUGUUUUCACCUUCAAGAUUAAUAUUACUUCUAGUUUAUUUUGUGAAAUAUGGAAAACUUUAUUUGAGUGCCGAAUGUGUGUAUGUUUUACAACACAUACACACUUUGUGGAAUCGUCAAAGUGGCUUGGCAUGCAUACAUACACAGGCAAAAUUUCUUGCCAAUAUUUGGCGGACGACACGAGUGUUCAAUCUUAAUAUAAACGCAGCUGCUGGCAAUGGAUAUUAUUUUUCAACCCUCUCUUUGCACACACGCGAGUAUACUAUGUAAUAUACUACUAUGGUACAAUGUCUUCUCUACAUAUGUAUGUAGUAGCGUACCGAAUGUAUUAAUGUAUAUAUAUAUAUAUAUAUAAGUAUUAUACCAGUAUAUAUAUACAGGUUGUGUAAACUACAUAUGGAAUUUUAAGUUUAUUUGAGCCCAAUUGCAAACGAGAAAUUAGAAAAGGUAGACUUAAAAUAGGGUGCUUGCGUCAAUGAUGGCUGCCUGCCCAGAGUUGUCAAAUUCGUUUUACAUGUAUACAAAUGCGUAUGUGUAUUUAUAUACCAUUGGUGUCGUGUUUUUAAUUUUUAAUUUUUGAUAUACAAAUGUUUUCCACACCUGAAUUUUUCGUUAAUAUGCGCCUGGGAAACUACCGGUUUGGCAGUAGCCCUGGUAGUGCACCGAUCGCCAUAUUCAUUUUAUUUUUAUAAUUAUUUAUGUAUGUAUGUACAUAUUAAGUCUACAUUUGUAAAUACAAUUUUAUAUGUUCAUAUAUCUUAAUCACUUGUUUUUGAAUCGAUAAUAUUCAAUUUUUAUUAUUUCUUCUAUAGAUAAUACUAUAACUUCAGUUAAAAAUCUGUAGAUAUUGAUAUUUUUUUUUUCAAACUGCUUUGCAAAUAUCAAAAUUUUUAAUUUAUUUUUAACAAAAACUAACAAUAGGAAAACUGUAAUGCAUUAUUGGUAAAAACAACAUGCAUGCUUAUUCUUGACUGUCAUUUAGCUUUUAUAUAUCCCGACAUCUGUAAAUAUAUACUAUUUAAUCAAAAGAAGAGGGAACAAUUUAGAAAUUUAAACAAACUUUAUAUAGAAUGUAUAUCUUGUAUUGAUAAUAAUGGAUGUUGU